CUGGUACAACAGGGAUGCCCGCAAGGCACAGAGUCAAUGGAAAAAGGGCAUCAUAAAAGCAGCUAGCAGGAUGGGAAAUGUCCGUUUGUCUGAGCUUGUGACUCAGCUACAAAAUGUCGUAGGUGACGAUGACAGAAUGCUAUUUCCAGAUAGACUUGCCUGUCCAAAUACACCAGCUGAUGUGUACACUGAGAAUACAGCGAGACAAGCCUGUGAACUUGCAGAACGUGUUCUCAAUCUCGCAGAAGAUAUGUAAGACUGCAGAGAAAACUGUGAUGUUAGUCUCGUACUACAGAUAUGACGACAAGGAAGACAAGUUACCAUGUACAGAACCUAUUUAGCACAGAGGUAGAUCUGAUCAAUUCCUUUUCUCUGAGGUGGUAACUUCGGCAAAAUGUCUGGAUAAACUGAGCCCAAAAUUCCUGUUAAAAUAUACACAGAGAGAAUUUAAAGUUGCAGAAAGUAUUCUUGAUGUAGUGAGAGAGUUCUUGGGUUAGAUUAACACUUUGUACAUAUUUCUUGAUUUGAUAAAGUUAAUACAUUUUGCUUUUUUAAUAAUUUGUGUGAAUAUUUCAGGAUCUGCAAAUAUUGUAUUUUGUGUAUAGAAGUAGAAUGCAAUAUUUCUUACUUCAUUAAAUUGAUCAACUGUAUUGAUAAAUUUAGUGAACUUGAGUAAACAUUGCAAAAUGUGUCCAUAUUUCAGGUUUGCAAAUAUUGUAUUUUAUGUUCAGAAACAUAUUUUCAAUGUGUAUGUAAUUGAAGUUUUGAAAAAUGUAUCAAGUGUGUAAAUAUAUGUACAGGAAAUUUAAUGAAAUGUUUACAAUGUUUAGAAAAUAAAGAAUUUGGAAACAUUACAUAUUGUGUAUAGUAAGGAAUUGACUUUGACAUAUGACAAAAUGUUUCUUCACAAGAAAAAACUCUUGAAUUACAUGCAACAAUGUGUACAUAUUUUAGUGGAUCAGACAUUUACAAUGUGUUUGUAUUUGAAGAUUGAGGUAAGAGUUGGAUCAAACUGAAGAUGUUCUGAAAAACAAAUUUUGUCAAUAGAAAUAUAAAAUGAUACACCAAAUGCAAAUAGUUCUUGCUUCAUUAAAUUGAUCAGAUGUAUGAACCAAUUUAAGGACUUUAAGUAAACAUUGCAAAAUUUGUUUACAUUUCAGGUUUGCAAAUAUUGUAUAUUACG